rnacentral:rRNA from 1 species
AGCGAACGCUGGCGGCGUGCCUCAUACAUGCAAGUCGCGCGAGAAACCUCCUUCGGGAGGGAGUAAAGCGGCGCACGGGUGAGUAACACGUAGGUAACGUGCCCUUGAGUCUGGGAUAACUCGGGGAAACUCGGGCUAAUACCGGAUGAGACCGCGGGAUCCUCGGAUCCUGCGGGGAAGGGUGGCCUCUGCUUGCAAGCUACCGCUCGUGGAUCGGCCUGCGUCCCAUUAGCAGUUGGUGAGGUAACGGCUCACCAAGGCGGAGAUGGGUAGCUGAUCUGAGAGGAUGAUCAGCCACACUGGAACUGAGAUACGGUCCAGACUCCUACGGGAGGCAGCAGUAGGGAAUUUUGGGCAAUGGGCGAAAGCCUGACCCAGCAACGCCGCGUGAGGGAUGAAGGCC